CGGGUGAGUAACGCGUGGGUAACCUGCCCUUAAGUCUGGGAUACCAUUUGGAAACAGAUGCUAAUACCGGAUAAAAGCUACUUUCGCAUGAAAGAAGUUUAAAAGGCGGCGUAAGCUGUCGCUAAAGGAUGGACCUGCGAUGCAUUAGCUAGUUGGUAAGGUAACGGCUUACCAAGGCGAUGAUGCAUAGCCGAGUUGAGAGACUGAUCGGCCACAUUGGGACUGAGACACGGCCCAAACUCCUACGGGAGGCAGCAGAA
rnacentral:rRNA from 1 species